GAUGAACGCUGGCGGCAUGCCUAAUACAUGCAAGUCGAGCGAAUGGAUUAAGAGCUUGCUCUUAUGAAGUUAGCGGCGGACGGGUGAGUAACACGUGGGUAACCUGCCCAUAAGACUGGGAUAACUCCGGGAAACCGGGGCUAAUACCGGAUAACAUUUUGAACCGCAUGGUUCGAAAUUGAAAGGCGGCUUCGGCUGUCACUUAUGGAUGGACCCGCGUCGCAUUAGCUAGUUGGUGAGGUAACGGCUCACCAAGGCAACGAUGCGUAGCCGAACUGAGAGGGUGAUCGGCCACACUGGGACUGAGACACGGCCCAGACUCCUACGGGAGGCAGCAGUAGGGAAUCUUCCGCAAUGGACGAAAGUCUGACGGAGCAACGCCGCGUGAGUGAUGAAGGCUUUCGGGUCGUAAAACUCUGUUGUUAGGGAAGAACAAGUGCUAGUUGAAUAAGCUGGCACCUUGACGGUACCUAACCAGAGAGCCACGGCUAACUACGUGCCAGCAGCCACGGUAA
rnacentral:rRNA from 1 species